rnacentral:rRNA from 1 species
UACGUAGGGGGCGAGCGUUGUCCGGAAUUACUGGGCGUAAAGCGUGCGUAGACGGUUAUUUAAGUCAGGUGUGAAAGCCCCGGGCUCAACCUGGGAAUGGCAUUUGGGACUGCAAGGCUGGAGUGUGGCAGAGGAGUCUGGAAUUCCUGGUGUAGCAGUGAAAUGCGUAGAUAUCAGGAGGAACACCAGCGGCGAAGGCGGCGCUCUGGGCCGGUACUGACACUGAGGAGCGAAAGCGUGGGUAGCAAACAGG